GGCCGGUCUUGCACAGCCGGUGUUUUUUGCCUGUGCCGUGCCCUUGUGGUGGCUGUGGUUGGUUUUCCUUUCCCUUUGUGGUUCUGGUUUGUUUUCCUGUUGGGCACUGUUUUCCUUUCGUGUUGGGCAGGGAUGUGCGGUGAUGUCAGUGGUUGGAGCCUGGAGCUCCCCGUGCUGCAGUGAGGGCCUGUGGGAAGCAAGGGGAAGAGUUUUCUGUGGGUGUUGGUGCUGGAGCCCUGGAUGAGUUCUGGGAUGGAGGUUUCCCCGGUGCCAUGUUUGAAAUGUGUGUGAAGGGGAAAAGGAGGCAGGAGGAAGGCUUGUGUUAGAAGGGAAGAGCUUUGCUGCUGCUUUUCACUGCGGUUUUGAUCGGUGUCUGGGGUGCCGCGUGUGUAUUCUUGGAGUGGAGGUGUGGUUGUUUUUUGUCUGCCUCUGUGGUUGAGGUGGCUGGAGUGGGAAGCGAGAAGCAGCACCCCAAGGAGGUGUGUUGCAUUUUAGCCUGUGCAGAUGGGUGAGGUGGAGCAGCUCAGGGCUGUCCCCAGAGGGCUCACCUGGAGUAGUGUGUGCAGUUUGGGCUCCUCAUUCGAGAAGAGGUGUGGAGCUGCUGGAGGAGAUGCAGCACAGGGCUGAGAAGAUCCUGAGGGGAUGAGGUCAGUUGUGUUGCGUGCAAAGCUGAGGGAGGGAGGUGGUCCCGUUGAGCCUGGAGCAGAGAAGACUUUCCUACAGGCUUGGAUGGCUUUAGGCAAACUCAGGUAGUGUGGGGAACACCUGAGAGGAGGUGGAGACGUGGUCAUGUCUGCAUGUGUAGGAUACCAUUGGCAUCAAUCAGAGAGCUGUGGUGGUCUGGCUCGCGUAUGUGGAGCAUUGGAAUGGAUGGUUGUACCCUUUUGGAGAGGAGGUGUGUAGGUGUCCAUGUGUGUGACCAUGUGGAGAGCAUGGAAAUGUGCUUGGGGAAGGACGAGGAGACGUCAGAGAGCUUGUGGAUGAGGAUUGAAGGGAAGGCAGGGUGAGGGUUUGGGGGCAUUGGGUGUGUGCUGCAGGUCAGUGGAGCGGGAGGAUGGUGUGGGUGAAGCCCUCUCUAGGCAGAGCUGGUCCUGCUGGAGGAACUGUUGUGGACUGUGAUGCUCCAGGGCUGCCCUGGCCGCUGUGAGCAUGAAAUGGGACCCAUGGGACCAGAUGAGAUCCAUCCUCGGGUGAUUAGGGAGCUGGCAGAAGAGCUUGUCAAGCCACUCUCCAUCAUUUACCAACAGUCCUGUCUCUCUGGGGAGGUCCCAGAUGAUUGGAAGAUUUCAAAUGUCAAACCCAUCUUUAAAAAGAGCUGGAAGGAGGAGCCGGGAAACUCCAGGCCUGUCGACCUGGCCUCAGUGCCUGGCAAGGUUAUGGAGCAGAUCAUCCUGAGUGCAAUCACACAGCACUUACAGGAUGGACAAGGGAUCAGAGCCAGGCAGCACGGGUUUAGGAGGGGCAGGUCCUGUCUGACCAACCCGAUCUCCUUUUAUGAUCAGGUGACCCGCCUGGUGGAUGAAGGGAAGGCUGUGGAUGUGUCUAUGUGGACUUCAGCAAAGCCUUUGACAGUGUCUCCCAUAAUAUACUCCUGGAAAAGCUGCAGCCCAUGGCUUGGACAGGGGUACCCUGUGCCGGGUUAAGAACUGGCUGGAGGGCCGGGCCCAGAGAGUGCUGGUGAACGGGGCUGAUCCAGCUGGCAGCCGGUCACCAGUGGUGUCCCCCAGGGAUCAGUGCUGAGCCCAGUCCUGUUUAACAUCUUUAUGGAUGAUUUAGCUGAGGGGAUUGAGUCCACCAUUAGCAAAUUUGCAGACAACACCAAGUUGGGAGGGAGUGUUGACCUGCAGGAGGGCAGGAGGGCUCAGCAGAGGGAUGUGGGUAGGCUGAAAAGUUGGGCUGAUUCCAGUGGGAUGAAGUUCAACAAGGCCAAGUUCUUAGUCCUGCACUUUGGCCCCAAUACCCCCUGCAGCGCUACAGGCUGGGCACAGAGUGGCUGGAGAGCAGCCAGGUGGAAAGGGAUCUGGGGGUGCUGAUUGACAGGAGGCAGAAGAUGAGCCAACAGUGUGCCCAGGUGGGCAAGAAGGCCAAUGGCAUCCUGGCCUGCAUGAAGAACAGUGUGGCCAGCAGGAGCAGGGAAGUGAUCCUUCCCCUGUACUCAGCACUGGUGAGGCCACACCUGGGGUAUUGUGUUCAGCUCUGAGCCCCUCAGUUCAGGAAGGAUAUUGAGGUACUGGAGCAACCAGGCUGGUGAAAGGACUUGAGCACAAGUCCUAUGAGGAGAGGCUGAGGGAGCUGGGGUUGUUUAGUCUAGAGAAGAGAAGGCUUAGAGGUGACCUCAUCACUCUUUUCAACUAACUGAAGGGAAGUUAUAACCAGGUGGGGGUUGGUCUCUUCUCCCAGGCAACCAACAACAGGGCAAGGGGACAUGGGCUCAAGCUCUGCCAGGGGAAGUUUAGGUUAGAUGUUAGGAAGAAAUUCUUUACAGAGAGGGUGAUCAGGCAUUGGAACGGCCUGCCCAGAGAGGUGGUGGAAUCACCAUCCCUGGAGGUUUUUAAAAAGAGAUUGGACAUGGCCCUUAGUGCCAUGAUAUAGUAAUUAGAGUUGGAUCAGGGGUUGGACUUGAUGAUCUUGGAGGUCUUUUCCA